rnacentral:rRNA from 1 species
AGAAAACAACAGGGAUUCCUCAGUAACGGCGAGUGAAGCGGUAACAGCUCAAAUUUGAAAUCUGGCUCUUUCAGGGUCCGAGUUGUAAUUUGUAGAAGAUGUUUCGGGUGUGGCUCCGGUCUAAGUUCCUUGGAACAGGACGUCGUAGAGGGUGAGAAUCCCGUAUGUGACUGGCUGCCUCCGCCCAUGUGAAACUCUUUCGACGAGUCGAGUUGUUUGGGAAUGCAGCUCAAAAUGGGUGGUAAAUUUCAUCUAAAGCUAAAUAUUGGCCAGAGACCGAUAGUGCACAAGUAGAGUGAUCGAAAGAUGAAAAGCACUUUGGAAAGAGAGUUAAACAGUACGUGAAAUUGUUGAAAGGGAAGCGCUUGCAAUCAGACUUGCGCGCGGCCGAUCAUCCGGGGUUCUCCCCGGUGCACUCGGUCGCGUUCAGGCCAGCAUCGGUUUGGGUGGUGGGAUAAAGGCCUUGGGAAUGUAGCUUCUUUCGGGGAGUGUUAUAGCCCUCGGUGCAAUGCCGCCUAUCCAGACCGAGGACCGCGCUUCGGCUAGGAUGCUGGCGUAAUGGUUGUAAGCGACCCGUCUUGAAACACGGAUCAAGGAGUCUAACACUUAUGCGAGUAUUUGGGUGUCAAACCCAUAUGCGUAAUGAAAGUGAACGGAGGUGAGAACCCUUAAGGGUGCAUCAUCGACCGGUCCUGAUGUCUUC